rnacentral:rRNA from 1 species
GUCUACGGCCAUUCCACCCUGAACACGACCGAUCUCGUCUAAUCUCGGAAACUAAGCAGGGUCAGGCCUGGUUAGUAUUUGGAUGGGAAAUGUGUAGGCUUCAAUGUAAAGAAGCAAGGAUUGUGAAAA